rnacentral:rRNA from 1 species
CCUACGGGAGGCAGCAGUGGGGGAUCUUGCACAAUGGGGGAAACCCUGAUGCAGCGACGCCGCGUGUAGGAAGACGGUCCUCUGGAUUGUAAACUACUGUCACCAGGGACGACGAUGACGGUACCUGGGGAGGAAGCCCCGGCUAACUACGUUCCAGCAGCCGCGGUAAUACGUAGGGAGCGAGCGUUGUCCGGAAUUAAUGGGUGUAAAGGGAGCGUAGGCGGGGAUGCAAGGUGGGUGUUAAAUCUACCGGCUCAACUGGUAGUCGAACGCAAAACUGCAGCUCUUGUGUGAAGUAGAGGCAGGCGGAAUUCCUAGGGUAGCGGUGAAAUGCGUAGAUAUUAGGAGGAACACCAGUGGCGAAGGCGGCCUGCUGGGCUGUUACUGACGGUGAGGCUCGAAAGUGUGGGGAGCAAACAGGAUUAGAUACCCUGGUAGUC